AACCUCCUCUCCCUAAAAUAAAUCAAACCACCCCAUACCCGCACCCCCAUCAAUACCUCGCCCGCCAUCUCUCUCCCCCGAUUCCCCUCUUUCCCAUCUAUCUUCCAUUGCGGCCGCCGCCACCUUCAAUUCUGCCUAGAUCCGGCGCUGUCCCGCGAUGUCGCUCAUAGGUCAGGCUCCCCCUCAGUGCACUCAUCCUAUAUUCUUCCUUGGCGACGUCCUCCACACCACUGCACGCGUCCUGCAGUACUAGUCGACACGGAUUGCCGGCGCAGCUCGCUCGCCUCUGUUUCGGAGGCCACUGCUCCGCGUCACUGCUGCAGGCUCGGGCAUGGAUCUGAAAUAAGCUGUGUGUAGGGUGAUGCUCCCUUGUCUCGAUGCUGGCCGGCAAUGGAGACGGACCCGAGGUGAGAGUAGGAUAGGGUGGAACUCCAGCCGUGUUCCUCAACUGCCAAUUGGAUCCCGCACGUGCGGGUGGUUCUUGUGGCUCGCGAAGCCUUCGGCGGCGGUGGUGCCCCUUUUGGAUUUAUUUUGGCGCCCGGCGUGCUCAAGCUCUGGUGGUCUCGCGUGCGUUUGUCUACAGCUGCGUGCGUGGUUGGCUCGUGUGCAUGUCUGAUGUCUCUGUGUGGUGCGUCCAUGCUGAUUGAAAGUACAGCCAUGUGACACUGAUUGUUUGCUACUGCCGCUGAUUACUAGGCCGAUGCUGCUCCUUAGUUCCUAACUUCCUAUACAGUAGAUAGAAGAUGAUUACCGCUGACGCUCAUUGUUUGCUAUCGCCGCUGGAUGCUAUUGCUGCUGCCGAUGAUUGCUGUUGCCAUUGCUGCUGAUAUUGCUUCUCCUUAUAUUAGUACCUAUACCGUAGAUGAUAUUCAUUCCCAAAUAAAAAAUAUAGAAGAUCUGUAUGUUUUAAAAUUCUUGCAAAUUGAACGAACUACUUGUUAUCUCUUCUCUAAUCUUUCUCUUGAUCAGAUUCUCUUUUUUACUAUCCAUUGCAAAAUUUACUCAAUAAUAUGUACAAUGCGUACAAUAAUAAUCAUGAAACCAUCUAGCUCCUUAUUGAGUCCAUGGCCCCUUUUUCCAUGCAAUGGUUAGUAUUAUUUGUUCCACCUGUAUCUCAUCAUAUGAUUUUUUUCCCUUGCAAUUUUUGUGCUUGCAAGAUGUCAGCUAGCAGUCUAUCAGUAUCUAAACAAUGCAGUAACCAUGAUGUUGGUAUGAAACUGUCCUACAGGUCAGGUUUUGAACUGUUGACAAUAGAUGCGCAGAUUGAUAAGAUUGUGUUAAAAUCAUUAAUUUGCCUUGGCUGAUCGUGUAAGGGAUUAACUUUCUUUAUUGGCGUGCAGCUUCAGGGGCAGAUGGAAAUGUAUAGCUUAUGACAUAAUCACAGAAAGUCGGGCAACCCAUUCGCUUACUUGAUAAAUCCUCCCCUGGUUCAGUCCACUAAGGUGUCCAUUUCCUUAUCUCCUCCUCAUGACGCAGCAUUCUUAUUUAUUCCAUAUCCUUAAUUUUUACACUAACUAGUCCAGCGAGUCUUUGUUAGUUAAGUGUGCCAGUAUAUGUCUAUUUUUUCCGAUCAUAACUUUUGUACAUGCCUAUAUUUUGUAGAUUCAUAUAGGUAUUGAUAUUCAGGUAUUCAAUGCAUGACAAAUGAUACAUGAUUAGGGAGCUGAAUUGUGACCAAAGAUCAAAUCCUCUUGGGCAUAUGAUAUUCUACAUUGGCAGGAAAGGCACAUGGGCAGUGUUUCUUAUAACUGGGUGAGAAUUUCAAUACAAGAUGAUUACUUGGAUCUUGGAGAACGUAUGAUGGUUCUUGGUACUUGGAGGAAAAACAAGACAAUUCUCUGAAUGUUUAGAAAUUUUAUAUUUUGUUUUAUUUUAUUUUUCGAAGGAAGUGAUGUACUCCUAAUUGAUGAUACUUCCAUUGUAAUGUAACAGAUUGUUCCAUUGAAUCAAUAUAUCAUUUUCAUUUCUA